AAAAAAGUAGCCCUGUACGUCACGUGACCGAGCUUCUCAUAAAGGCGGCCGGAGUGGCAGGGGUUGAAUUCUGAAUUUGCUUUCCAUGGACGGAACAGCUCCUUUACCCACAGAAGGCUUCAGAUCCUGCAAGGGGUUCCACUGCAUGGCUUCAAUGUCACUUCGACAGAAAACAGAACCCAAAAAAGGAAAGAAAAAGAAAAAUCAUGGAUGAAGGAAGAGUAUUCAACAAAAAAUGGACAGAUGAGUACUUUUUUUGUCGAGAGAAAUACUAAGGCACUAUGCUUAAUUUGUAGGGAAAGUUUUCAAAGACUACAAUUUGAAAUGGCAUUAUACAGAAAAACAUGCUGCCAAAUUCAAAGCGUAUCAAGGAAUUUGUUGUAAAGACAAAUUAGCGGAACUGAAAAAAAAUCUGUCUCAGCAAUUUUUAAAAAGUCACAACUCAAAAGGACUCUAUUAUAAAAACUAGUUAUUUGGUAGCAAAUCUAACUGCAAAAAAUUCAAAACCAUUUACUGAUGGUGAGUUUAUUAAGCAAUGUAUGGAAAGCGUGGCAGAUACAAUUUGUCCUGAUAAAAAAAGUGAUUUUUCUAAAAUCAGUUUGUCUCACCAGACUAUAGCCGGGCGAAUUGAAGAAAUAUUGAAAAGUUUGAAGAGUAAAGUGCUAAUUUCAAAUUGUAUGCUUUGGCGAUGGAUGAAAGUACUGUUGCUACAGAUACAGCUCAACUUGCCAUUUUUAUUAGAGGUAUUGAUAACAAAUAUAAUGUCACUGAAGAAAUGGCUUCUUUGGUGCCAUUAAAAGACACAGCUAAA